GACGAACCGUAUGAACGUUAUUCGGAAUCACUGGGCUUAAAGGGUGCGUAGGCGGCGCGACAAGUUGGGUGUGAAAUCCCUCGGCUCAACCGAGGAACUGCGCCCAAAACUGUCGUGCUCGAGGGAGACAGAGGUGAGCGGAACUUAGGGUGGAGCGGUGAAAUGCGUUGAUAUCCUAAGGAACACCGGUGGCGAAAGCGGCUCACUGGGUCUCUUCUGACGCUGAGGCACGAAAGCUAGGGUAGCGAACGGG
rnacentral:rRNA from 1 species